UUUUGUCCGGUUGUUACCUGCCUCAGCCUAAGACCCGAAACGCACCAGAAACGAAAAUCUUCAGGAGAAGAACUCGGAAGAAGAAGAUGAUAUAUCGGAAAUGGAGCUUGUUAACACUCCCGGCGGUUCUCGGCGGCGUAGGGGCCACCGUAGCGCUCGCUAGCUUUGUCGUCUUCCAAAACAAUCCAUUUAGUACUCUAAAGGAAAAGAUCCCGGAUUCAGUUCGCAGUGAGGCAGCGACCAAGUGAAAGGAUGAAGGUGAACAACGUUUGUGUUUCUGCCAUGUUGGUUCUGUAUUUUGGGACAUGAUUUUGUAGUUAAUAAUUUCAAAUGGAAGUGAAGUUCUGAUAUUGGUGUGUUUUUCUCGAGUUUUACUGCAAUAAUAAUUUGAAAUUGGAAUCGAGUUCUGAUCUGA